rnacentral:piRNA from 1 species
UGUGGAAGCUUUUCUCAUGCA